rnacentral:tRNA from 1 species
CAGAGGAUAGUUUAAUGAGAAUCUUAGCUUUGGGAGUUAAGGGCGGAAGUUAAAGUCUUCUUUCUCUGA